rnacentral:rRNA from 1 species
GAUGAACGCUGGCGGCGUGCCUAACACAUGCAAGUCGAACGGAAAGGUCAGUGCUUGCACUGGUACUCGAGUGGCGAACGGGUGAGUAACACGUGGGUGAGCUGCCCUGCACUUCGGGAUAAGCCUGGGAAACUGGGUCUAAUACCGGAUAGGACAAUGGGUUGGAUGCCGUUGUGGAAAGUUUUUUCGGUGUUGGAUGAGCUCGCGGCCUAUCAGCUGGUUGGUGGGGUAUUGGCCUACCAAGGCGUCGACGGGUAGCCGGCCUGCGAGGGUGUACGGCCACAUUGGGACUGAGAUACGGCCCAGACUCCUACGGGAGGCAGGAGUGGGGAAUAUUGCACAAUGGGCGCAAGCCUGAGGCAGCGACGCCGCGUGGGGGAUGACGGCCUUCGGGUUGUAAACUCCUUUCGCUAGGGACGAAGCGUAUUUGUGACGGUACCUGGAGAAGAAGCACCGGCUAACUACGUG